AGAGUUUGAUCAUGGCUCAGGAUAAACGCUGGCGGCGUGCCUAAUGCAUGCAAGUCGAACGGUGUAGCAAUACACAGUGGCAAACGGGUGAGUAACACGUGGGAAUCUGCCCAAAAGUAGGGAAUAACUGCUCGAAAGAGUAGCUAAUACCGUAUGUGCUAGAAAUAGUAAAGGAGCAAUCCGCUUUUGGAGGAGCCUGCGACUGAUUAGCUAGUUGGUGGGGUAAAAGCUUACCAAGGCUGUGAUCAGUAGCUGGUCUGAGAGGAUGACCAGCCACACUGGGACUGAGAUACGGCCCAGACUCCUACGGGAGGCAGCAGCAAGGAAUUUUCGUCAAUGGGGGCAACCCUGAACGAGCAACGCCGCGUGGGUGAUGAAGUCUUUCGGGAUGUAAAACCCUUUUCUCUGGGAUGAGUAAAGACAGUACCAGAGGAAUAAGCAUCGGCUAACUACGUGCCAGCCGCCGCGGUAAUUC
rnacentral:rRNA from 1 species